ensembl:lncRNA
CUGUGCACAAGCGUAUGGACGAACUUCCGCUUUAGCCAGAUGUCGGCAUACAAAUUUCAGUUUUUAGUAGAUGUCUCCAAGACCUGCCUAAAAUAAGCAUUAGUGAUGUCCAUCGAAUUGUUGAUGCCUGGUCCCCUGCUCCAACAAGCAAGCAGAACAAGGGAUUCAAACUCUACGUAUCAAGUUAUCUGCACAACUACGAGGGAUUGCAAGACAACCUUGCAGAGGUGGAAGAGGGCAUAUUUUUACUCCGCAA